UACGAGGGGGGCGAGCGUUGUUCGGAAUUAUUGGGCGUAAAGGGUGCGUAGGCGGUUUGGUAAGUCUUAUGUGAAAUCUACAGGCUCAACCUGUAGUCUGCAUGAGAAACUGCCGGGCUUGAGUAUGGGAGAGGUGAGUGGAAUUCCUGGUGUAGCGGUGAAAUGCGUAGAUAUCUGGAGGAACACCGGUGGCGAAGGCGGCAUCCUGGACCAUUACUGACGCUGAGGAGCGAAAGCCAGGGGAGCAAACGGG
rnacentral:rRNA from 1 species